UGCUCCCUAUUCAAGAUGAGUCCUGCACACAUCUAAAUCAAUUUUGUUUACAACCCAGAUUCAGUUUGUCGCAAUGCAAGCUAUAUUCGUCCUGCGAGCAGAUUUAACUUUUUUUUUGAGAAAACACCUCGUUUUUCAUCUGCGGCUUUGUUUCCAUGUUUGCUGUCGCCCACAGCUCGUCCUACGUCUUCGGAAAGAUCUGACCGCAACGAAUGAAUGUGUCGCUUUAUAUAUACAUAAUUAAUUCGAGAUCGAACAUUGUGGCAUAUGGUCUGGCAAUAGCUAUGAGAGGACUGUGCAAAUGUGAGUGCGCCCUGUUGUGGCCAAGCGUUGGUUUUUUCUGCUGUUAUUUUGUUUGUAUUGCCAUAUGUGACUGCUGUUAUUUUGUUUGUAUUGCCAUAUUGACCCAGAUGUGGUUUACUUACCCAGUGCAUCGAUUUUGACGGUACGUCGUCGACUCUGGCAAAUACAAAAUGACAUAAAGUUUGUGUUUAAUAUUUAGUCCAAAUCCCUGAAACGUGCGUGUUUUUAAGCUCUGAUGGAACAACAAAAAAAGCGAACAAAAUCAUCACGGUGAAGAUCCCUUAGACCUUACUUAAUAUGCAACAAUAUUUACCAACGUGAAUCUCGCCGUCCGUCCAUGUAUCGCCGUUCAACUUGAUUGCUUCAUCUUGAAGCGUGUAAUUUGUAUAUAUAAUAAACGAUUUGAUCUCGCAUAUCGUUGAACAUAUACAUCUUGCGGGAAACCUUCGACGCUGGCCAACGGCGCAGUUCCUGUACAAUUAGCUAGUAGCAUGAAAGCCUACGUCAACGAGACAAGUUCAUCGAUGAACUAUUAGAUCCACAAGACGCAACUCUUGCUAUGAAUGCUGCGAGCCGGUGGCAAACUGCGAGGGAAAGCGAUAUCGGAGAGCAAUCUGAGGAGAUAACUGCGUCUCUCGACCAUGAGUGCUGACGCAUCGCUGUAAUCUGUUUGACCGUCGAAGAGGAAGCAAAGCGAAGACAGUAUGCGAUCGACCACGAUGAAUAGAGCCGAGGCCCAAUUAGUGACGUGCGUAGUAAUGUCCACAGUGUGUUAGCACUGAUGUACCAACGCUUGAAUUCAAAACAUGAAGGGUACACCCUUCGGCUUUCUUCGAUUGUUGGCGAGUGAAACUGACUGACGUUGGGUGGCAUUCAGACAUAACAAACGUGACGAUAAGCUUCAUCAUAGGCUUGAGCAUCUGAAUGCGGAGCUUCGAGGGAUUCGGGACGGACGAUUCUGUAGCUUGGGAAGAAGGCUGGUGAAGAAUGCACGAGUCGACGAUCGCAGUUCGUAAUACCGAGGAAACAUGCUGCGAAAUCGCGUAUCGAGUAGUUCGAUAUCGCUUUUGGUGCGCGGUAGAUCGUUUGGGAGCUACAGAUGCUUAACUGGUGACGCUGAUAAAGUAACGGAUUAUCGUUAUUGGGCUAACCAUAGGCUGGCACUAGUAGUCCAUAGAUAAAAGCUUGAUCGAGGAGCUUCAGCAGAAUGGCUAGCCACUGCAGCAAGGUAUCCUGCUACCUGUAACGUUCUGUUUGUUAUACGGGUAUCAUAUGUUGUCUGACUUUUUAAGGAAAAAGGAGACAAAUCCUGCCUAACUAAUGAGGAUUUGUCUAUGCCAUCGCGAAGGGAAGCAGCAGUAACAUAAAAUGAAUGCCAUUCGUUCUGCUCUGCAAAGAAAUGCUCAGUAAAGUUUUUUUCUCUGCUUUUCCCGUUCUAAUAUAAUAAAACUAUCGGUGUGCCUCGUGCUAGA